rnacentral:rRNA from 1 species
UACAGAGGUCUCAAGCGUUGUUCGGAUUCAUUGGGCGUAAAGGGUGCGUAGGCGGCGCGGUAAGUCGGGUGUGAAAUUUCGGAGCUUAACUCCGAAACUGCAUUCGAUACUGCCGUGCUUGAGGACUGGAGAGGAGACUGGAAUUUACGGUGUAGCAGUGAAAUGCGUAGAGAUCGUAAGGAAGACCAGUGGCGAAGGCGGGUCUCUGGACAGUUCCUGACGCUGAGGCACGAAGGCCAGGGGAGCAAACGGG